AUACGGAGGGUGCAAGCGUUACUCGGAAUCACUGGGCGUAAAGGGCGCGUAGGCGGUCUAUCAAGUCAGGUGUGAAAUCCCACGGCUCAACCGUGGAGGUGCAUCUGAAACUGAUAGACUUGAGUAUGGGAGAGGAAAGUGGAAUUCCCGGUGUAGAGGUGAAAUUCGUAGAUAUCGGGAGGAACACCAGUGGCGAAGGCGACUUUCUGGACCAAUACUGACGCUGAGGCGCGAAAGCGUGGGGAGCAAACAGGAUUAGAUACCCCAGUAGUCC
rnacentral:rRNA from 1 species